CCUACGGGUGGCAGCAGUGAGGAAUAUUGGGCAAUGGUCGGGAGACUGAACCAGCCAAGCCGCGUGAGGGAUGAAGGUACAGAGUAGCGUAAACCUCUUUUUUCAGAGAACAAAGGCGGGGACGUGUCCCCGAAUGAGUGGAGCUGAAGAAAAAGCAUGGGCUAACUCCGUGCAAGCAGCCACGGUAGUACGGAGGAUGCGAGCGUUAUCCGGAUGUAUUGGGGUAAAGGGGUGCGCUGGCGGUCUGUUAAGUCAGAGGUCAAAGCCCGGGGCUCAACCCCGUUCCGCCGUUGAAACUGGCAGGCUAGAGUUGGAGAGAAGUAUGCGGAAUGCGCGGUGUAGCGGUGAAAUGCAUAGAUAUCGCGCAGAACUCCGAUUGCGAAGGCAGCAUGCCGGCUCCACACUGACGCUGAGGCACGAAAGCGUGGGUAUCGAACAGGAUUAGAUACCCUUGUAGUC
rnacentral:rRNA from 1 species